UGGCUUUUUGGGAGCCAUGGAGGUUGUAAGCAGAGAGGGACGUGGAGAGAAGGAAGCAGAGAGCCGGGUAGGUGAGCCUCCCCCAAGAAGGGGAGGGCAAGGCAGCCUCCAA